AGAGUGGUCGGGAAUAAAAAAGA
rnacentral:snRNA from 1 species